CCUACGGGUGGCAGCAGUAGGGAAUCUUCCACAAUGGGCGCAAGCCUGAUGGAGCAACACCGCGUGAGUGAAGAAGGGUUUCGGCACGUAAAGCUCUAUUGGUGGAGAAGAACGUGAGUGAGAGUAACUGUUCACGCACUGACGGUAUCCAACCAGAAAGUCACGGCUAACUACGUGCCAGCAGCCGCUGUAAUACGUAGGUGGCAAGCAUUAUCCGGGUUGAUUGGGCGUAAAGCGAGCGCAGGCGGUUGCUUAGGUCUGAUGUGAAAGCCCUCGGCUUAACCGAAGAAGUGCAUCGGAAACUGGGCGACUUGAGGACAGAAGAGGACAGUGGAACUCCAUGUGUAGCGGUGGAAUGCGUAGAUAUAUGGAAGAACACCAGUGGCGAAGGCGGCUGUCUGGUCUGCAACUGACGUUGAGGCUCGAAAGCAUGGGUAGCGAACAGGAUUAGAUACCCGUGUAGUC
rnacentral:rRNA from 1 species